rnacentral:rRNA from 1 species
UACGUAGGGUGCGAGCGUUAAUCGGAAUUACUGGGCGUAAAGCGUGCGCAGGCGGCGCGUUGAAGAACAGGUGUGAAAGCCCCGAGCCUUAACUUGGGAAUUGCAUUCGAGACUGAAUAGCUAGGGUGCGGUAGAGGGAAGCGGAAUUUCCGGUGUAGCGGUGAAAUGCGUAGAUAUCGGAAGGAACACCAGUGGCGAAGGCGGCGCUCUGGGCCGGAACUGACGCUGAGGAGCGAAAGCGUGGGUAGCAAACAGG